rnacentral:rRNA from 1 species
UACGGGGGGGGUAAGCGUUGUUCGGAAUUACUGGGCGUAAAGGGCUCGUAGGCGGCCAACUAAGUCAUACGUGAAAUCCCUCAGCUUAACUGGGGAACUGCGUGUGAUACUGGAUGGCUUGGAUUUGGGAGAGGGAUGCGGAAUUCCAGGUGUAGCGGUGAAAUGCGUAGAUAUCGGGAGGAACACCUGAGGCGAAGGCGGGCUACUGGGCCGAUACUGACGCUGAGGCGCGAAAGCCAGGGGAGCGAACGGG